rnacentral:rRNA from 1 species
CCUACGGGAGGCAGCAGUGGGGAAUAUUGGACAAUGGGGGCAACCCUGAUCCAGCCAUGCCGCGUGUGUGAAGAAGGCCCUCGGGUUGUAAAGCACUUUCAGUGAGGAAGAACGCCUGGUGGUUAAUACCCAUCAGGAAAGACAUCACUCACAGAAGAAGCACCGGCUAACUCCGUGCCAGCAGCCGCGGUAAUACGGAGGGUGCGAGCGUUAAUCGGAAUUACUGGGCGUAAAGCGCGCGUAGGUGGCUCGAUAAGCCGGUUGUGAAAGCCCCGGGCUCAACCUGGGAACGGCAUCCGGAACUGUCAAGCUAGAGUGCAGGAGAGGAAGGUAGAAUUCCCGGUGUAGCGGUGAAAUGCGUAGAGAUCGGGAGGAAUACCAGUGGCGAAGGCGGCCUUCUGGACUGACACUGACACUGAGGUGCGAAAGCGUGGGUAGCAAACAGGAUUAGAUACCCUUGUAGUC